GUGUGUGUGUGUGUGUGUGUGUGUGUGUGUGUGUGUGUGUGUGUGUGUGUGUGUGUGUGAGGAAGGUCGGGUUCAUCCUGUGUACUUGUUUCCGUCAUGUUUCUACAGGCAGCAGAACAUUUGUGAACCAGUGGCGUUGCCUAACAUUGUAUUUCAUACUGAUCUCGAUGUUUUCUCUUUUUCUUUCUUUAAUUUAUGGGUAGUGUCGAUAGAGUUGUGCAUUAUUAUGAAGAAUUUUAUGUAUGAUUACAUUGAUUGUUUGAUUGUACAUUUAAAACAAAUAUGUAAAGAUUCAAUUUUUGGUUUAAAUUAAAAGGAACAAAACGUG